ensembl:lncRNA
GGGAAACUAGCGGGGCGGCACACCCCUCACCGCCCCUAUGAUAUCUACCAGGUGAUCUAAUUAGAACGAUAACUAGCUGGGACUGGAGGGUUUUAGGACAACUGGGAAGAAAGGGCCCACUCCAACGGCCAUCACCUGGACGACCACGCACUAGAGGCAUUUCUGAGUCACGAUGUAGCACUAUAUUGAAAAGACAAACAAACCAGAGACACCAGCACACAUUUAUCCAGUUUUUGAAGCAGAUUAAUAGAAU